AUACGUAGGGGGCGAGCGUUGUCCGGAAUGACUGGGCGUAAAGGGCGUGUAGGCGGCGGAUUAAGUCUGGAGUGAAAGUCCUGCUUUCAAGGUGGGAAUUGCUUUGGAUACUGGUCGGCUUGAGUGCGGAAGAGGUAAGUGGAAUUCCCAGUGUAGCGGUGAAAUGCGUAGAGAUUGGGAGGAACACCAGUGGCGAAGGCGACUUACUGGGCCGUAACUGACGCUGAGGCGCGAAAGCGUGGGGAGCGAACAGGAUUAGAUACCCUGGUAGUCCACGCGGUAAACGAUGAAUGCUAGGUGUAGGGGGUAUCGACCCCUCCUGUGCCGGAGUAAACACAAUAAGCAUUCCGCCUGGGGAGUACGGCCGCAAGGUUGAAACUCAAAUGAAUUGGCGGGG
rnacentral:rRNA from 1 species